UAUGUCAUUUUAUUAUAUAUUUUUUGAUUCAUUAAUAAAUUAUAAGUAUUACAAGACAAGACAAGGUUCAUGAAGAUCUUUAGAAUUCUCAAUAUAAGAAGGAUAGAGCUUUGAAGUUAAGAUUGACAAAGACAAGACAAGAUUGAAGAAGACAAGGCAAGGUUUAUCAAGUAAAAGUUAUGAUCUACUUUGAAGUAGACAUCAUUGAUGGACUACUUCAACAUUGACAAAGACAUCAAUGAACAUAAAGAAGAAAUUGAAGAAUAAUGAUAUCAAAAAUAGAUUUAAAGUUUAAUUGAUUGACU
rnacentral:lncRNA from 1 species